AAUGACAGGGUUGUAGGAGGUUAAAAAGUACAAAGGUCCACAUACAUGUGAUGCAGGUACAAUAUUUAGGGUUUUUUAAUAAUACUGUUAUUAUGUAAUGUUGCAUUAUUUAAUGUACUGCGUUUACAGGUAUUUCACAAGAUCAUCCUAAGAUGGAUCCAACUAUGUUAGUUAGCUUGAUACUGCCCACGGUGAAGGCAGAUCCCAGGACUUCAGUGCCGGUGUCGGGAAAUAGGACUUACGACUAUGGGAUGUUUGACGCACUUCGUUAUCCAUGCGCUCAUGUAAUUGCAG
rnacentral:lncRNA from 1 species